rnacentral:rRNA from 1 species
AGAGUUUGAUCCUGGCUCAGAACGAACGCUGGCGGCGCGCCUAAUACAUGCAAGUCGAGCGAGAAGGUGUAGCAAUACACUUGUAAAGCGGCGAACGGGUGAGGAAUACAUGGGUAAUCUACCAUCGAGUGGGGAAUAACCAGCCGAAAGGUUGGCUAAUACCGCGUACGCCUCCGAAUCUUCGGGUUCGGAGGGAAAGCCACACUGUGAGUGCGGCGCUCUUUGAUGAGCUCAUGUCCUAUCAGCUUGUUGGUAGGGUAACGGCCUACCAAGGCUUUGACGGGUAGCUGGUCUGAGAGGACGAUCAGCCACACUGGCACUGCGACACGGGCCAGACUCCUACGGGAGGCAGCAGUAAGGAAUAUUGCGCAAUGGGCGAAAGCCUGACGCAGCGACGCCGCGUGGGGGAUGAAGGUCUUCGGAUUGUAAACCCCUUUCGGGAGGGAAGAUGGAGCGAGCAAUCGUUCGGACGGUACCUCCAGAAGCAGCCACGGCCAACUUCGUGCCAGCAGCCGCGGUAAUACGAAGGUGGCAAGCGUUGUUCGGAUUCACUGGGCGUACAGGGUGUGUAGGCGGUUUGGUAAGCCUUCUGUUAAAGCUUCGGGCCCAACCCGGAAAGCGCAGAGGGUACUGCCAGGCUAGAGGGUGGGAGAGGAGCGCGGAAUUCCCGGUGUAGCGGUGAAAUGCGUAGAGAUCGGGAGGAAGGCCGGUGGCGAAGCGGCGCUCUGGAACAUACCUGACGCUGAGACACGAAAGCGUGGGGAGCAAACAGGAUUAGAUACCCUGGUAGUCCACGCCCU